rnacentral:rRNA from 1 species
AGUGGGGGAUAACGUAGCGAAAGUUACGCUAAUACCGCAUAUGCCCUGAGGGGGAAAGGUGGGGAUCGUAAGACCUAUCGCUUUCGGAGUGGCCGAUAUCAGAUUAGCUAGUUGGUGGGGUAAAGGCCUACCAAGGCGACGAUCUGUAGCUGGUCUGAGAGGACGACCAGCCACACUGGGACUGAGACACGGCCCAGACUCCUACGGGAGGCAGCAGUGGGGAAUUUUGGACAAUGGGGGCAACCCUGAUCCAGCCAUGCCGCGUGAGUGAAGAAGGCCUUCGGGUUGUAAAGCUCUUUCGGACGGAAAGAAAUCGCCAUUUCUAAUACAAGUGGUGGAUGACGGUACCGUCAUAAGAAGCACCGGCUAACUACGUGCCAGCAGCCGCGGUAAUACGCAGGGUGCGAGCGUUAAUCGGAAUUACUGGGCGUAAAGCGUGCGCAGGCGGUUUUGUAAGACAGGUGUGAAAUCCCCGGGCUUAACCUGGGAACUGCAUUUGUGACUGCAAGGCUAGAGUGUGGCAGAGGGGGGUAGAAUUCCA